rnacentral:rRNA from 1 species
CCAGCUUGCUGGAUGCUGACGAGCGGCGGACGGGUGAGUAAUGCAUAGGAAUCUGCCCGAUAGUGGGGGAUAACCUGGGGAAACCCAGGCUAAUACCGCAUACGUCCUACGGGAGAAAGGGGGCUCCGGCUCCCGCUAUGGGAUGAGCCUAUGUCGGAUUAGCUAGUUGGUGAGGUAACGGCUCACCAAGGCCACGAUCCGUAGCUGGUCUGAGAGGAUGAUCAGCCACAUCGGGACUGAGACACGGCCCGAACUCCUACGGGAGGCAGCAGUGGGGAAUAUUGGACAAUGGGGGAAACCCUGAUCCAGCCAUGCCGCGUGUGUGAAGAAGGCCCUCGGGUUGUAAAGCACUUUCAGCGAGGAAGAACGCCUAACGGUUAAUACCCGCUAGGAAAGACAUCACUCGCAGAAGAAGCACCGGCUAACUCCGUGCCAGCAGCCGCGGUAAUACGGAGGGUGCAAGCGUUAAUCGGAAUUACUGGGCGUAAAGCGCGCGUAGGUGGCUUGAUAAGCCGGUUGUGAAAGCCCCGGGCUCAACCUGGGAACGGCAUCCGGAACUGUCAAGCUAGAGUGCAGGAGAGGAAGGUAGAAUUCCCGGUGUAGCGGUGAAAUGCGUAGAGAUCGGGAGGAAUACCAGUGGCGAAGGCGGCCUUCUGGACUGACACUGACACUGAGGUGCGAAAGCGUGGGUAGCAAACAGGAUUAGAUACCCUGGUAGUCCACGCCGUAAACGAUGUCGACCAGCCGUUGGGUGCCUAGCGCACUUUG